UAAAAAUAAAAUUUCAGUGGCAUUUUCGGAUUCGAAUGUAAUUAAUCUAAUUUCAUCGAUUUUGGGUAUGAACUAACCAGAUUUCUUACUGUGAAAUUUGUCACUCUGUUGAAGAUAUAUUAAACAACAUCACAGCGAUUUCUAUAUAAAGUUUUGAUAAUAAUUAUUAAUAAAAAUGUCUGAUCAUUGUGAGCAGAGAUUUUUAACAUCAAGUAGCUCGGUGAAUCAAAGAGGAACAAAAAAUGGACAGAAACCUUUUGAAUGCGAUGUAUGUGAGAAGAGAUAUAACAGAUCAGAUCAUUUAGCUGUGCAUAAGAGAACACACAUUGGAGACAAGCCUUAUGAAUGUGAUCUUUGCAAGAAGAAAUUUUCACAAUCAGGUAAUUUAGUAGUACAUAAGAGAACACACACUGGAGACAAACCUUAUGAAUGUAAUGUUUGUAAAAAGAAAUUUAUGCAAUUAAGCAGUCUUACUUGGCACAAAAAGGAGCAUUUGUUUUGCAAUAGUUGCCGCAAAGAGAUUAUUGAACCACAAGAUUUUCAAGGACACUUUGUCGAGUACAUUGGAAAGUACGGUUGUACUAAAUGUAACAAACGAUUCUCAAAUAUUUUGACAUUGGUUCAACAUAUAGCGAGACACCAUAGCAAUGAUGGAAACUAUCAAUGUGGUUUAUGUCAAGAACUGGAAUCAACAGAACCAACUGGUGUUGGAUAUGUUUGUUGUGUGUGCGAUGUCGUGUUUGAUGUUCCCAGAGAUCUUGAAGAUCACAUGGCCACCCAUGACUCAAUGUGAAUACUGUUGCCGGCUUUGAGUAUGCAGCGAGUUUAUGCAUAUAUAGAACAUUAAGAUUCCAGUUUAAGUUUUAUAAUUAUGAAAUAUACAUUGGCAUUUGUAUCAGACUAGUUUUUUAUAUUUCUCAUGCCUGUUAUUUGACUGCUAUGCGAGCUAGUGUAGAUACCACUACAUUGACAGAGAUUUUUUAUGUUCCUGAAUAUUUCAUUAAAUUGGAUGUAAUAAUGGA